UUGUCCUUUGGCAGCAGGCGGAAGCGCUUUGGGACAAACAUUAAGUUUGCCAGCAGGCUAGAUGUGAAGAGCACGAGGUUUGCCGCUGGAACAAAUGGGACGAGGUGGAGAGUCACUUUUAAAAGUUAUUCUGUGACUGAUGAGUUUUUUAUUGGACAGGCCGAAAAGCCACAGAGUCUCAACAUUUAGAUGAGACAUGUCAACAAUGUAAGUGGACAGAGACCUCUUGUGACUGAUGAGAAAACAAUAACAAGGUGAGAUUAUUAUUUAUCUAAAUAACAACUAACUUUAAGAAAGAUAUUCUUGUUACUAAACUUUACAAACCUAACUUGUAGCAGAGCAAAAGUAUUUUAGCGUUAGUUUUCUGGAUGGAACUCAGGACAAUGGGCUCCAUAGACUCCAGACCCAGACUGCGUAAAGUUGCCCCAUGUAAUAGUUUGCAAGAAAAUGGAGAUGAGUCCAAACCACAGUGGACCCUCCCUGCUCUCCCACUGACAACGGAGCAGCCAUCAGGACCUUUGGGACGGAGGAAGACGACUUUACCUCCACUGAAACAAGAAAUAACUCUUUCUUCCCUCUCAGAACCGCGCUCUGCAGGAACCUUCCCAUCAAAACAAAGCGACAAUUCAAGCAUCAUUCAUUCUCAUCCCCCCAGAAGACCCCAGGCACUGCAACCGCUGGCCCUUCAAAUUGGCCACACACGCACUGCCAAUCAAAUUGCCAUGGUAAUGAAAAAAAAAGAAAAAUAUCUCUCUGACUGUCCCAGUAUCACCCUCAUGCCAUCUCAGAAUCCAGUAAGGAAUUUUGAUGUUUGUUGUAGGGCAGGAACUGCAGAGAUGGGGAUGUCCACCAGUUUUUUACAACCGGCCAGACAGGCACCAGCAGAAUGAUUCAGGGAGGAUUUCUGGAGGCCCAGAUAUCUCUCACUCAACAGACUCAUCAGCAUCGUCA
ensembl:lncRNA